CCUUUGGAGCGUUAAGCCAAACGAAAGUAGCCAAGCAAACAAGCGUAAGCGAGUAAGCGGCAAAAUCGGACGCAAUGAAGAAGGAA
rnacentral:sRNA from 12 species